AAUGGGUCAGCGACUUAUAUUCUGUAGCAAGGUUAACCGUAUAGGGGAGCCGAAGGGAAACCGAGUCUUAACUGGGCGUUAAGUUGCAGGGUAUAGACCCGAAACCCGGUGAUCUAGCCAUGGGCAGGUUGAAGGUUGGGUAACACUAACUGGAGGACCGAACCGACUAAUGUUGAAAAAUUAGCGGAUGACCUGUGGCUGGGGGUGAAAGGCCAAUCAAACCGGGAGAUAGCUGGUUCUCCCCGAAAGCUAUUUAGGUAGCGCCUCGUGAACUCAUCUUCGGGGGUAGAGCACUGUUUCGGCUAGGGGGCCAUCCCGGCUUACCAACCCGAUGCAAACUACGAAUACCGAAGAAUGUUAUCACGGGAGACACACGGCGGGUGCUAACGUCCGUCGUGAAGAGGGAAACAACCCAGACCGCCAGCUAAGGUCCCAAAGUCAUGGUUAAGUGGGAAACGAUGUGGGAAGGCACAGACAGCCAGGAUGUUGGCUUAGAAGCAGCCAUCAUUUAAAGAAAGCGUAAUAGCUCACUGGUCGAGUCGGCCUGCGCGGAAGAUGUAACGGGGCUAAACCAUGCAC
rnacentral:rRNA from 3 species